UGCACUUCCUGUGUUUCAGAAAGAAUCCUACCUGGAAAGGCACCAUUUUGGGAAUGAGCUUAUCAAAGUACACGUUUACAGCUGCUAUGAAUCCUGGUGCUGUGCAGACCCCAGAUAAUGAUGCAGACCAGGAUGAAACGAGAAUGAGAACAAAGUCCCUCCUGACAACAGCAGAGCGACAGUAUUGUCAGAGGACGGGCAACAGGAGCUCUCUGAGAUGUUUGUCUAACUACCGUAAGUGAGAGGUGAGAUCCUUCCAGGAUCAAAAUACACUGAUCACAUAUUGCACUAAUGCUCUCACAUGUGGGAAUUAGGGAAAGGAUAGGGAGGAUUUCUUACUCUAUGUCAAGGCCUCCCUGGAAACGUAGUUCUCCUUUCUCUGGUUGAUGGAGAGACCAUGGCACAUCACUGCAAGAUAAACGCAGUCUGAUUAUUA